GACGAACGCUGGCGGCGUGCUUAACACAUGCAAGUCGAACGGAAAGGCCCCUUCGGGGGUACUCGAGUGGCGAACAGGUGAGUAACACGUGAGUAACCUGCCCUUGACUUCGGGAUAACUUCAGGAAACUGGGGCUAAUACCGGAUAGGAAUUCUUGCUGCAUGGUGGGGGUUGGAAAGCUUCGGCGGUUUUGGAUGGACUCGCGGCUUAUCAGCUUGUUGGUGGGGUAGUGGCUUACCAAGGCUUUGACGGGUAGCCGGCCUGAGAGGGCGACCGGCCACAUUGGGACUGAGAUACGGCCCAGACUCCUACGGGAGGCAGCAGUGGGGAAGAUUGCACAAUGGGCGGAAGCCUGAUGCAGCAACGCCGCGUGCGGGAUGACGGCCUUCGGGUUGUAAACCGCUUUCAGCAGGGGCGAAGCUUGUGGUGACGGUACCUGCAGAAGAAGCACCGGCUAACUACGUG
rnacentral:rRNA from 1 species